GCAGUUAACUUAGCAUUGACAACAAUAACUCAAUAAGAUAAAUCUUUUAAUUGGCUGUGAUGUCAGAAACAUGACUUCUGAAACAAUGGAAAUACUGAGCAACAAAGAAGUAAUUCAAGUAAACCAAGAUCCUCUUGGAGUUCAAGGAAGAAAAAUUUUAGGACAAGAGCUUAUGUGUUUCAUGAUGUACCUUUAGGUGAGAGUAGUAGUAGCACAUCUGAUGAGUUAGACAUGAGUGCUUUUCGAGAUACAAUUGCUAAUGCAUUACUGUCGUAGUUAAGUAUGUCAAUGUAACGGUACUUAUGAUGUAAUCAACUCCAAUAAUUAAUGUGUAAUGACCUUUUCUUCGUUA